GAGAUGCAAGAGGGAAGAGAUACGGGAACAUAUGUAUAUGUAUAACUGAUUCACUUUGUUAUAAAGCAGAAACUAACACCAUUGUAAAGCAAUUAUACUCCAAUAAAGAUGUUAAAAAAAAAAAGGUGUCAGAUAUGGGGAUAUAUGUAUAUGUAUAGCUGAUUCACUUUGUUAUAAAGUAGAAACUAACACACCAUUGUAAAGCAAUUAUACUCCAAUAAAGAUGUUUAAAAAAAAAAGCCCUAUUCUUUAACUAGGUUCUAGGCUAGGAAUUUUGGCUCUAACAUGUCUGAGGAAUGCCCAUCUGUAUCUUUGGCAGUUGUCAGGUAAGAGCAGAGGAGGUUAGAGGGAAGAAAAGAGAAAUAAACAUAUAUAGAAAAAAAAUAGACACCUUGGACAAAGAGUAGGAAGAAUUAAAAAAGAAAAAAGGUCCCUAGUUAGUUUUCCCUUUCCUAGUGAUUUUGGAAAGUGUGAACAUUGCAUUGCAUAACUUACUGAUUCAGGUUAUCCUUCCUCAUCUUUUUUUUUGUUGUUGUGUCAUUUGUACCUCAUUUCUGUUUUGACAGGAAGAUAUGUUUUCUCAGAAGCAUGCUGUUACUUGAGAUGGUAAAGGGUCAAAGUGCAGUGCUGUCUGACAACGGCGGAGUUGAGGUACAGGAGGAGUAGUGAGGGUUCCUUCUUCACUUCUCCGUGUGGAGUACAGUAAGCCCAGAACUUGUGUGGAGGAUUGAAAUCUGCUGAAGGGACGUCUACCCUUGAACCAAGGGUGCUGGAGGCUAAAACCUGAAACUUGAAAGAAAGAAAUUUCAGACAUUAAGUACUACUUUUCAGUCUCAAAUGCUCCUUUCUCUCAGUUGUGAGAUGCAUCGGAGAUUUGAGAAUGCCCCUGAUUCUGCCAAAACUAAAGCUCUGCAAACUGUUAUCGAAAUGAAGGAUUCAAAAAUUUC